CCUACGGGAGGCAGCAGUGAGGAAUAUUGGUCAAUGGACGAGAGUCUGAACCAGCCAAGUAGCGUGAAGGAUGACUGCCCUAUGGGUUGUAAACUUCUUUUAUAUGGGAAUAAAAUGUUCCACGUGUGGGAUUUUGUAUGUACCAUAUGAAUAAGGAUCGGCUAACUCCGUGCCAGCAGCCGCGGUAAUACGGAGGAUCCGAGCGUUAUCCGGAUUUAUUGGGUUUAAAGGGAGCGUAGGUGGAUUGUUAAGUCAGUUGUGAAAGUUUGCGGCUCAACCGUAAAAUUGCAGUUGAAACUGGCAGUCUUGAGUACAGUAGAGGUGGGCGGAAUUCGUGGUGUAGCGGUGAAAUGCUUAGAUAUCACGAAGAACUCCGAUUGUGAAGGCAGUUCACUGGACUGCAACUGACACUGAGGCUCGAAAGUGUGGGUAUCAAACAGGAUUAGAUACCCGUGUAGUC
rnacentral:rRNA from 1 species